AAGACUAUAGACCUGCGGAGUACCUGCGGAAGGAUCAUUACAGAGAUCAUGCCCUCACGGGUAGACCUCCCACCCUGUGUUAUUUACGAUUGUUGCUUUGGCAGGUCGCCUUCGGGCACUCGGCUCUGGCUGAGGUGCACCUGCCAGAGGACCCCCAACUCUGUGUUUAGUGUUGUCUGAGUCUUAUUUAAUACGUUAAAACUUUCAACAAUGGAUCUCU
rnacentral:misc_RNA from 1 species